rnacentral:tRNA from 1 species
UGGGAGGUCGUUCAACGGUAGGACAAGCGGCUCUGACCCGCUCAAUCGGGGUUCGAAUCCCUGCCUCCCAACCA